GUGCUCACUUUGGCAGCACGUAUACUAAAAUUGGAACGAUACAGAGAAGAUUAGCAUGGCCCCUGUGCAAGGAUGACAGGCAAAUUCAUGAAGUGUUCCAUAUUUUU
rnacentral:snRNA from 1 species